CUUUUUUUUCUGGCACUGGGAGUCACUCAUGACCUCACACUUGCCAGGCAGGAGCUGUGCUGCUGAGCUAUAUCCCCGGCCCCAGACAAGACCUUUGAGGGCAUGUGUCCCAUGUGCCAGCGGAGCAAGGACCUUGGGAUGAAGAAAUGAUGAGAAGGUGGCUGCUGCACUGUGGCAUGGAGGUGGUAGAAUUGCACUCGGGAGGCCAAGGUACCCAGGUGACCAUGUUUGCAGAAUGGUCUGAUGUUCUGUGUGGAGUUCAUCCCCCGGUGCACCAGCGUGGCAACAGUUCAUUACCGGUGAGUGUCACAGCAAAUGUGGCAUGAAGGAAUUUUCUGUAACCAAUCCAGUGAUAAUUGGAUUAAACACUUAUUAGCUGUGGAUUUCAAUAAAGCUGUGAUGUUGACUUCA